UUCCCUGGUGGUCCAGUGGUUAGGACUACGCACUCUUACUGCUUAGGGCCCAGGUUUGAUCCCUGGUGGGGAAA